rnacentral:misc_RNA from 1 species
UCGCGGCUUAUCACCGGCAGUCCCCCUAGAGUGCCCAACUAAAUGAUGGCAACUAAUGAUGAGGGUUGCGCUCGUUGCGGGACUUAACCAAACAUCUCACGACACGAGCUGAAGACGGCCAUGCAACACCUGUCACUGGGUUCCCGAAGGCACUCUCGGCUUUCACCAAAAUUCCCAGGAUGUCAAGCCUUGGUAAGGUUCUUCGCUUACCAUCGAAUUAAACAACACGCUCCACCGCUUGUGCGGGUCCCCGUCAAUUCCUUUGAGUUUUAGUCUUGCGACCGUACUACCCAGGCGGGAUGCUUAACGCGUUAGCUUCGCUACAUACCGGGUCGAUACGGCAUACAGCUAGCAUCCAUAGUUUACGGCGUGGACUAC